rnacentral:misc_RNA from 1 species
UUUUUUUUUUUUUUUUUUUUGGAAGUUUUAAGAGCUACAAAUUAAUCAUUGGACAAAAAAAGUUCACCAGGGACGAAGAAAAAAAAAAGUGAUCUGAUCUCUCUAGGAUAUAAUCUUUUAGCUGGGGGUUCUGAGAAGUUGGAAUCUCUUAAUUAGCAAAUGUAAUUAACUUUAGUGUCUUAAAACCCAUUCUGAUUGAAAUAAUUAAGCAUUUCCUUUCUUUAGUUGUAUAAUUUUUAUUUAUCAUUUUCUGAUAAUACUAACUCUGCUAAUAAGUCAUCUUUGUGUACACUAACAUUGGUGUGCG